GCUCUAUUUUUGAAGCCGUAGCCACAUACUAGUCGGAUGUGCAUCCAAUCCAUGCCGUUGAGCUCACGCAAAAUGGCAGCCUUUGUUUACCUGCAACAGCUGACAGCCGCUAGCGUGUCGGUAACGCAGCGCAACUAUUUGCGGCCCACAGCGGUACACUUGCAUCUGAGAAGAAUCUGCGCUGCUUGCAGGAGCCGUGAGAUGCAGCAGAGUGAGGGCCAACAAGAAUUAACCGUAACCCACGAGGACAAACUUUGCAACAUAGUGGAUCGAGAACUGUCAAGCCACUCAGCACCCUUCAUUAGAGCACCGCCACGACAGAACAAUAGCCUCGUCAAUGUGAUCGCAGCAACAGUAAUACUCUGGGCCUGGCGCCCCUGCGCUGACGGUUACGCUCCGUGAAAGAAGCUGCUACAACGGUAAAUGGCCACUGGAGGCGGGAAAGUGGGUGGUGUGGACGGCCGCGUCCUCGACAUCCUUGGGAGGACAGGCGGCCUCCUUGUUUCCCCGCCGCAGUACUUCGCCGAUAGCGAGGACGCAAGUUCGGAGGAUGCUGCAGGGCCCUCCCGCAGUGCACCAGCAACAGCUACGUUUGUGGUGUCGGGUCCUGC